rnacentral:rRNA from 1 species
CCUACGGGUGGCAGCAGUGAGGAAUAUUGGUCAAUGGGCGCGAGCCUGAACCAGCCAAGUAGCGUGAAGGAUGACUGUCCUACGGGUUGUAAACUUCUUUUAUAAAGGAAUAAAGUGAGGCACGUGUGCCUUUUUGUAUGUACUUUAUGAAUAAGGAUCGGCUAACUCCGUGCCAGCAGCCGCGGGAAUACGGAGGGUCCGAGCGUUAUCCGGAUUUAUUUGGUUUAAAGGGAGCGUAGAUGGGUUGUUAAGUCAGUUGUGAAAGUUUGCGGCUCAACCGUAAAAUUGCAAUUGAUACUGGCAGCCUUGAGGACAGUUGAGGAAAGCGGAAUUCGAGGUGUAGCGGUGAAAUGCGUAGAUAUCACGAAGAACUCCGAUUGCGAAGGCAGCCUACUGAACUGCCACUGACAUUGAUGCUCGAAAGUGUGGGUAGCAAACAGGAUUAGAUACCCGAGUAGUC